UACGAAGGGGGCUAGCGUUGCUCGGAAUCACUGGGCGUAAAGGGUGCGUAGGCGGAUUUCUAAGUCAGGGGUGAAAGCCUGAGGCUCAACCUCAGAAUUGCCUUUGAUACUGGAAGUCUUGAGACCGGAAGAGGUAAGUGGAACUGCGAGUGUAGAGGUGAAAUUCGUAGAUAUUCGCAAGAACACCAGUGGCGAAGGCGGCUCACUGGCCCGGUACUGACGCUCAGGCGCGACAGCGUGGGGAUCAAACAGG
rnacentral:rRNA from 1 species